AAAUUGAAGAGUUUGAUCAUGGCUCAGAUUGAACGCUGGCGGCAGGCCUAACACAUGCAAGUCGAACGGUAACAGGAAGCAGCUUGCUGCUUUGCUGACGAGUGGCGGACGGGUGAGUAAUGUCUGGGAAACUGCCUGAUGGAGGGGGAUAACUACUGGAAACGGUAGCUAAUACCGCAUAACGUCGCAAGACCAAAGAGGGGGACCUUAGGGCCUCUUGCCAUCGGAUGUGCCCAGAUGGGAUUAGCUAGUAGGUGGGGUAACGGCUCACCUAGGCGACGAUCCCUAGCUGGUCUGAGAGGAUGACCAGCCACACUGGAACUGAGACACGGUCCAGACUCCUACGGGAGGCAGCAGUGGGAAUAUUGCACAAUGGGCGCAAGCCUGAUGCAGCCAUGCCGCGUGUAUGAAGAAGGCCUUCGGGUUGUAAAGUACUUUCAGCGGGGAGGAAGGGAGUAAAGUUAAUACCUUUGCUCAUUGACGUUACCCGCAGAAGAAGCACCGGCUAACUCCGUGCCAGCAGCCGCGGUAAUACGGAGGGUGCAAGCGUUAAUCGGAAUUACUGGGCGUAAAGCGCACGCAGGCGGUUUGUUAAGUCAGAUGUGAAAUCCCCGGGCUCAACCUGGGAACUGCAUCUGAUACUGGCAAGCUUGAGUCUCGUAGAGGGGGUAGAAUUCCAGGUGUAGCGGUGAAAUGCGUAGAGAUCUGGAGGAAUACCGGUGGCGAAGGCGGCCCCCUGGACGAAGACUGACGCUCAGGUGCGAAAGCGUGGGGAGCAAACAGGAUUAGAUACCCUGGUAGUCCACGCCGUAAACGAUGUCGACUUGGAGGUUGUGCCCUUGAGGCGUGGCUUCCGGAGCUAACGCGUUAAGUCGACCGCCUGGGGAGUACGGCCGCAAGGUUAAAACUCAAAUGAAUUGACGGGGGCCCGCACAAGCGGUGGAGCAUGUGGUUUAAUUCGAUGCAACGCGAAGAACCUUACCUGGUCUUGACAUCCACGGAAGUUUUCAGAGAUGAGAAUGUGCCUUCGGGAACCGUGAGACAGGUGCUGCAUGGCUGUCGUCAGCUCGUGUUGUGAAAUGUUGGGUUAAGUCCCGCAACGAGCGCAACCCUUAUCCUUUGUUGCCAGCGGUCCGGCCGGGAACUCAAAGGAGACUGCCAGUGAUAAACUGGAGGAAGGUGGGGAUGACGUCAAGUCAUCAUGGCCCUUACGACCAGGGCUACACACGUGCUACAAUGGCGCAUACAAAGAGAAGCGACCUCGCGAGAGCAAGCGGACCUCAUAAAGUGCGUCGUAGUCCGGAUUGGAGUCUGCAACUCGACUCCAUGAAGUCGGAAUCGCUAGUAAUCGUGGAUCAGAAUGCCACGGUGAAUACGUUCCCGGGCCUUGUACACACCGCCCGUCACACCAUGGGAGUGGGUUGCAAAAGAAGUAGGUAGCUUAACCUUCGGGAGGGCGCUUACCACUUUGUGAUUCAUGACUGGGGUGAAGUCGUAACAAGGUAACCGUAGGGGAACCUGCGGUUGGAUCACCUCCUUACCUUAAAGAAGC
rnacentral:rRNA from 1 species